UCCUAAUCUACUCUGUCAGUUCCUUGUCAUGAUGAGCUCUGUUUUCUGUGCGUAGGCUUUUGCGCAAUAAACCAAUCGUACACCAAUUGGAAUAAUUAUGGCAAUGUGCGUUAUAAGCACAUGCCGGUUUAUUAAUUUAUUGUAAUGAAUAACAUAAUUAUUAAUAUAACAAAUUAUUAAGGAAACUAAUGUUCGUCAAAGUAAUUAUUAAGAAAAUUGUUCGCACAGAAAAGGUGGGGGUAAUUCAAACGCCCACCACUAAGAACUAGUAUACAUAUCAAAAGGAAUUGCGCCAGAAAACGGGGAGGAGGGUGGGUAAACUUGAUUUCCGAUGGAGAUGUUUUGCAGCCAACGUGCAGAGCAGAAUGAACCGAUCCCGCAUUCUAGUUCAACUAAAUACCGCGAACUCCUAUCCGUUUUCCCGCGCAUUACAAUCAUGUGAUUACAAAAUUCCCGGGAAAAUCCCAGUAGGUUUCUAUCUAUUUAUAUAGUUCAAGUGCAGGAAGCAAUAAAAUCUUUAUUGGUAUGCCAAUAAUUCCUUUAUCGCUUCCCUUAAAUUUAAUCCAUCCUAAUCUACUCUGUCAGUUCCUUGUCAUGAUGAGCUCUGUUUUCUGU
rnacentral:lncRNA from 1 species